UUGAGCUCUGCCCAGAGCUCUGGGCCGUGUGCUGGGCAGAAAGCUGAACCGAGACCGAGAGAGAGAGAAGCAUCUAGAGACGUGUAGAGGAGCGCGCCUCUCUCCACCCUCCUGGGGGUCUCCUGGAUAUUUCUGAGCCCAAGGCUGUCUCCUUUCCUCCUUGUCUAGUGGAGUUUCCUAGGUGUAGAAGUUUCCCAGGAGCAUUUGUGAGCAGUCUAAGGAAGAUUCACUCAGUCAGAAGGGGUGGAAUUAAUAAAUGAUUCCCUUUUUAACUCGGCCUGGGCCUCAUUCGAACGCCCGUUUUCAACUUGAGCUUUUUUGAAGAGAAAUAUGUGAAGUUUCAUUGUAAGACAGAUGGGUUGAAGAUUUUGUUUACUGUUAAGUAAAUGACUGUGUUCAAAGCACUUUGGACACCGGGCCUGACGCAGGACAACACUAAUUGUAUAUGGAGGACUCGCUCUGUAGCCAGCAGUGUCCUGCUUCUUACACGUGCUCCCAAGGUGUUGUCACAAUCACCCUGUGGAUAGGUACUGUUAUUUCCUCUGACUUAAGGACACGGAGUCUAAAGCUCAGAGAGGUGCAGAACUCGCCUGCAUGUCACGUGGGCCCUCGCAUUUCAGAUGCACUCAUCUCAGUGGCC